UCACACAUCCGAUUCUAGCAUAGCACUUAAGAAGCGUGGACAGGAGGGCUGCUUGAGUUUAAUAAAUAAAAUGAGUUCUAGAUCAGGCUGAGUUACAGAAUACGGCCCUGUCUCAAAAAAGAAGACAGAGAGAGAGAGGAGAGGAGGAGAGAGCACCUUAGUGUUUUUCUUGUAUAGAAAAAUCGAAGUAGAGGGGUGUCUGUGCAGCUCGGGGAAGCAAAAUAUGGUCAGAAGAAUUGCCACAAAAUCUGGGAGAGGAAAACCACACAAAGACAAGUGUGAGCAGAAGAAAGAUACACGAAUCUUCAGACCUGACUCAACCCAUCCCAAGGAAGGCAGGGAACCGAGAGACAGAAAAGAGUUGACUUGGAGCACAUAAGGUGCAGUCAGUGAGUCACAGAGAGCUCUUCCAUCUCUUCCUUCCAUCCUUUAAAGCCUUUGGAAGCUGCUGUGAGUUCUCCAGUCAGAUUAACUGAAAUGCUUUUAUGUGAACUUGAGUUGUUCUCUGAGGCCUCUCCUUCAGGUCUCUCCAAGGACAUUGUCUAUUUAAUACUGAUGCUACUCUACUAAAGAGGCUAAAUAAUUGUAUUCAUGAACACUUCUAAGAGACACUGAGAUGAUCUCCUUAAGAUAAGAGCCCAAAGAAAGUGUGUGUGUGUGUGGGGGGGGCUGUCAGCUCCCAGUCACGCAGGGCUGUGGCAGCUCUCAUAGUGCCCACCCAACCCUGUCUUUGGAAGGCACCUAACCUUUCUUUUGCAGUUGUCACUAUCCAGGAAGGUUGUGCAAUUAUUUGAGCUUGGAAUCCAAUGAGUGUACCCUAAAGAUCUCCUACCCCAUCUGAGAAGGAGCUGGUCCAUAUACCUGAUCAUCAAGACGUCAAUCUCCCACCACAAGAGUGGUGCUGGCUCCAAGCCUACUUGGGAAGGCAGCCCAAUUCAAACCUUACAUCUUGUUGCUACUGGGAAAUGAUAUCAUCCCCGAGGUGUCGAGCCACCCCAAAGAUGACAAUGAACCAGAAGAUGGCUGGCUGCUCCUUGUGUAACAAAUACCUCAUGGGAGAUGCCUGCGGCUUCUGUUUCCUGUGACUGACACCCCAUUUGUCCUUGCCUGCUUUUGCAUCUAUCUCAUCAUUGUUAGAACGUUUAGAGAACACAGCCCAUUCCUAGAGCUGAGUUCUUCAUUCUGGACUCUUGGGGAAAAAAAAAUACACCAGAGGAAAAAAGAGGAAGAAUUCGCCUGAGAGGGUUAUCCUCCCAGAAAAGCUGGAAAAACUGACAGAAACUUUCCAGAGAGCCUGGGAUUGUAGAACCUCACUUACCUGGGCUACUGGCCCCUGAUAAAGUCCUCAUGACCAUGUCCUCACAGCAUUGAGAUAAGCCAUACAGGAUGAAACCUGUCACACAGACAUCACCAUAUCAAGUCACAGAUGGUUUGUACUGAGAUGAUGUGCUCACCACGUUAGUGUUACGCACACAAGAUGAAACCUGCUACACAGACACCGGCCAAGCUACCACUGGUUGGUGAUGUAGAAAAUCUCUGUGAAGAUGUGGUUCCUUUGACAUCUGGCUCAGACACCCAAGCUGAAGAGAAUGUCAUGCAAAUUAGGCCAGGUGAGAACCCCAGGCCUGUUAACAAGUGUGCUGAUCCCUGUCCAGGAGUCGGGUCCCAACUCAAUGAAGAAAUCCUUGUGCGCUGGGUUUCUGACCUCAGGCUGGAUCCAUGUAUGCAAAUGUGACUCUCUGAGGGUUUGUCCCUCCUUCUCGUCACUUAAGAAAACCAUAAGUCUUGUGUCUCUGGACAGAGUAGGUCUAAUCCAGAUUCCCCUGUUCCUCUUGCUUGUGGUUCUCAGCACACCUGAUGGCUAGUGUUCCACUCCUGGGUCAUGAACAUUGCCCAGGGCUUUUACAUUUUUCCUCAAUGUUAUCAUUGGCUGGUCAACCAAUCUCUGAAAGACGAUAGGUACAUAGAUAGAUAAACCUGUGUCAGCAACUUUCAAGUAUACAAUUCAGAGUUCUGCUCUUCAAGCUCACCAUUUUACAUUAAAGUCCUCUUGAACUUACAAAGAACUUGGCAGUCUCCUCACACACUGGAGUUAAACUUCAUGUCUUCACAGUGCUGGCAAGGAACUUACUGCGAAGUGUAAUUCUUUACAAUUACAAGUGUAUUCUUUGUGGUUGCACUGAAAUGGGAGUCAGGGACAGUUGUUGAGAGCUGGCUUCCUUGGCAGACAACGCAUGAUUGGCUGGACUCACUGAGAAUUCUCUGACUUAUUCCCCUCUCUGACCCAUCCAACCCAGACAGCCUUUGUCUAGCCUAGGUCUACAUACAUGUACACAUGUACUGCACACACUAACGAAUGCUUCCAGAGUUCAUAAAGGGCGUGUGCUCCGCUAAACACAGUGUUACAGGGAAGAAAGGGUCUCUAUUGAGACCUUAAAAAAAUAAACAAACCCCAUAAAAU
ensembl:antisense Gm14244 predicted gene 14244